GCUAAAAGCAGAGGCAGCCUUUUCUAGGGCUGACAUUCUUUCUAUAACCAGAAGUAAAUCUAGGUAAUGCCUAUGUUCUGCUUUCUGCUGUGAGAGCUGCCCUUACUCCCCAAGUCUCAUUAUUCUGUUGACUCAAGGUGAAAGGAAGAUGGAUUUGUAAAGAACCUGACCCUUCCAACAAUGCUAUCCUGCUUGCUUUAACAAAACGCAACUCUUUGGGGUGUCCCUCUCUUCUGCUGGAGCAGGAGUACGUUGCUUACUGGUAUCCCAGAGCAGCUCAUGACAAAUGUAUUACAUCUCUGGCAGGGUAACACCCUGAGUUUGGAACAGAUUGAAAAUGAGCUACAGAGAAAUAAUUUUGGACAAAGUGUGGCUUCUACUUGCGUGAGAAGAAAUCCGUCAUAAAUGAAUUUGGUCCUGAAGAAAUAUUCCUGGCACUUGAGUGUAUGCGCUGAAAAGAUUUGUCUUGUGUACAGUGAGAAAUGUGCUCUCAGAAGGACGGGGAGGUAGAUGUUUGUGGGGAAUCUGUGCUGUGCUACAGCAGUUAAGGACUGGAAUUUAUAGAAGACCUAAAAUGAUCAGACUGACUUGCUAUUGUUAUGAUUUGUAUUAAAAAGGGCUCUUCCUACGGUGAGAUAGAAAGGCACCAUCUCUCUAGCUGCCAGGAUACCAGACUGCAGGUUUCCUUACUCAGAGCUUUCUGGUGACAGAGAUGUCCAGCGAUAACAGUCCCCUGGCAAAGUGAUACCCAUUACUCUUGUAUGACUGGCUUGCUAAAGCUAUGUUUCAUUGGAAUAACAAACACUAAACUAGAAAAUAGAGUGAAUUCAGGUCUGCUGGAGGAGACCGAUUAGAAGAAAUGGUCUGAAGACAAAUCUCCUGGCCUACUGUGUCCUUCCAGCCGCUGUUGGGAGGGUGACUCUUGCCUCCAGCUGGCUCGGAUGCCCCUGCAUAGUCUCCUUGGCAGCAUCAUGCUCUGAGUGAGCUCCAUCUUCGUCUCCAGCCAGCUCAAGGGGCUCUCAGUUCUCAUGUAAAUUCUUUCAUGAUGUCCACAAAAGAGGCUUUGAUGAUUGCUGGGCUGCUGGCGUAUUGAGACCACUUCCUACCUUGCUGGGCAGUGUUGUCCCGUUCCUGGUGUCCCCGCUGUUGUCUUGACUGUCCUCUCGUCUUGCACUUGGAUGGUUUGCUCUUUGAGGUAUCGAGGAAUGUUCUUUUGUCAUGAUGUUACUAAAGUCCAUUUUACCAAAUCAAAGAUGAAAACAGACUGAAAGUACCCAGAAACCUGAUUUGCAAGAGUGAGACCAACAGUUUCUGCAGGGCAGAGCGGUGACACUUUGGCAUGAGUAAUUUAUGUGGUUGUUGAUAUGCUGUGACAGAGUCUUCACCCACAACUCCGUAUGUAGCCUUUGCAGCUCGGAUCUGCCUCUGGGAAGAGCAACUCACCUCGGCAGUGUGAACAGCAAAAUGGGUAGUAGCUGCUCUUGUCACACGGGUCCCUUCCAGAGCUUCAGGUCACAGGGUGGGAGAAGCUCUUUCCACCUGGAUUUUUCGGCUUCCCUCUCCUCCCAUCGUUCUGCCCUGCGGAGCUGGUGAGUCCUGUGUUUGAGACGUGGACCUGAGACGUGACCAACGCCGCUCCUGCCCUUCCGUGGCAGCGGGUCUUGCACCAGGCUCUCAGCCCCACGCAGAACCUCUCGAAGCGCAGGCUCGUUCCGGAGGAAUACAGGCAGCUCUGUGCAGCACCUGGAUUUGGGGCACUUCCCUUCCCUUCACGAAGGCAAGGAACAUUUUUAGGAAGGAUCUCAUUUCUUCCAUAGACCGAAGGAGGCGGCAGCGUAUUUUGAAAUGGCCAGCGCUGUCCCAGGAGCUGAAGCUCUCCUGCCCUGGCGGCACGUAGGCAAUGAGGGCUCGCGGCGUAGCCGCCGGCAUGGCGUGACCUGCUGCGGCCGCUCUGCGAGGAAGUGCUUCCCGCUCCAGGGAGGAUGGGAGGCUGUAGGCAGACAGCAGUUUUUUGGCUGGCUCCUGUGCACUCGCUGGGUUUCAUCCUGUGCAGCACGGAGGGGAGAGCGCCGGACCUGGGUACGAGCAAAGCAAAGCCCCCUGGUCAGAAGCAAAGCGCUCCCCAGAAAGCCCAGCUUGCAGCAAUGAGCCUGGGGCUGCUCCUGCAAGAAACAGAGAAGGGAGCAUGAAUCUUGCAGGUUGAGGGCCAACCUUAGACCGUUAUGAGACAGACGGCCAUUACCAAGUGAAUUUUUACCAGGAGUUUUUGAGGGUGGCAGGGGUUAUGCAGUGGCCAUCAAUACAUCCCAGUGCAAGAAACUGCUGUCCAUUUCUCUGCCUUGCCCUGCCCUGCUUUGCACAGCCCUCCUCUCUCCAAGUGGGAUGGGAUGCUCCUCGUUCUGCUGAUGGCAGAUGAAGGCUUUUCAGAGAUCCAGUAUCAGCCCCCUCCCAGGUGCAGUGGUGAGGCAGAUGCUGAUGUUCAUGUGCAGGUGCUCUGUGGAUCGAGCUGGGUCCCCAUCACCCCAGACAGAAGGCUGAAGACCUGCAGAGUAACAAAGUGGUCCAGGUUUGGAGCACAGCAUUGUGGAAUAAUCUGUCACAGUGCAGGAAAGAAAGAUGCAUGUUGUGUUAGUUCAUUUCAAGCGGAAUCAAUGACAACUGUUGGAAAAUAAAAUCACUCAGAUGCUGUGUUACAAAUUACAUUGUCAGGAUGCAGAAGACAAGAUCCUGUGUUCUGCCUUCAUAAGGGCAAAUGCUGAAGAAACUCGAGACUCUUUGCUGUGUGCCUGGAAACCUGCCUGUCUUGGGUGAGUCUCUCUUUGGUUUCAGAAAAGAGAAGACACUGGAGGAGGAAAGCAAAUGAGGGGAAUGUGGAUGAGAUCAGCAACAGCAAUAAAGAGUGUUGUCUUGUGGAACAGCAGCAGAGCAUUUGCAGUAACUUACAGAGACCCUGAUUUCAGAGCUGCUGAACUAAAGAACUCGGAGCAUAGAUCUGAAACUCAAAAAACCUGAAUUUUAUUCCUGGCUCUGCUGUUGCCUUGUUCCCUGCGAGAGCGAUGGAGGAAAGGCCUUCUCUGAUACUAUAGCUGAAGAGGUUUAGCAUAAAAAAGAAAUCUUUCACUUCUGACACUGACAUUCUGCAAUACGCUAGGAUUGAUACGUACGCGCUGUCGUUCAAAUCCACCGAUUUCUGCCAUCUUACUACCAACCCAGGAUCCUUGCGCUGCCUGUUCCUCAGGUGUGGCCAGGCUGUUUUUCUUGCCACUGCAGUCGUUAGUGAUCUUGAUGUUUUUGAUGUCACUGAUGGAAGACACAGCACAUGAUACAUCCACAUCUUUGCCAGACAAAAAGCUAGGAACUCAAAGCAAGAUUUUGGAAGGAAAUCCAGGUAUGGGAUGCUGAGUUCCCAAGUUUUUGAGGUAGCAGGAAAGCAUGCAGAAGGUUUCAGGGAAGAAGAUUUUGUUUUUGGAAAACAGAGAUUCCCUCCCCCCAGUGCUAUGGUGCAUGUGCUAAAACUGCAGUCAUUAUCAAAAUGCUUGAUUUUCCACUAAAUUUCAUGUGACAUGUUUAAUCGGCUGUACAGAACUUGAGGUCUCUGGAAGCUUGAUUGCUCCUGGUGACUCAGCUCCCCAGAAGUGUCUUGUCCCAGUUUGAACCAAGUCUCACAUAAAAUGGGUGAAAGCGUUCUAUGAAGAGUGAUUUUCACUUUUAUUGCUGCAAAGUUCGAGUUAACAACAGAAAGAGGAAGCUUUCAACUACAUGAGUCAGUUUUCCUCUCAAAUAUCUAGUCAAUUAAAGAGCUUGGUGAAGUGACAUGCGCGCACUGGGGAAAAGGCAGCUUUUAUAGCAGCAUAAGCCGUGCAUUUCGGUAAGAAGAAUGGUGUCUGCCCUUUCCAAACCGUGUUGCAAUCAUUUUAUGGUGGUCUUGCAGCAGUUUGUUUAAGCUGGGGCUCCCACUUUCAAAUGUUCAUUUUGUUUUUUUUCUGUUAGGAUUAUCUCAGAUCUGGACAGUGUCUUUCACAUUUCCAUUUUCCCGAAUAGCUUAAAAAUGUAUCUAACAGGAUUUUUUCAGGGGUUUGGAAAGCAGUUGCCAGUAAAUCCCUUCUCCAAGGGUUUCAGAGGUCCCUGUGGCGUCCGUGCAGGAAAUCAUGUCCUUUUUCCUCCCACGUGUAGUUUCUUCGGCAGGUAGUUCUUCAUUUGCGUUUGAUAGCUCAGUUGCCCAAGGGAGGACCCGGUGGUGCUCGCUAGGAAGAGGAAGGGUGGAUGGGUGGGGAGAUCUGAGACCCGCAGCCUUUCUAAGCUUGCGUUUGGGGCAGGGAAGGGAGAGCCAAGCCGCAAGCGGAGCUGCCAGCCGUGAGAAGGCUUGGGAGUCUGGUGCAGAAAAACCUGUUCAGGGCCCUCAUAAGCCUUAAUCUAUUCCUUGGCUUACUGUCAGGGGAGGAUUUGUAGAGUUUGCUACCUCGUUGAAGGUCAGUUCCCUGCUGCUGGCAGCAUAGGUUGUUAGGUGUUAAAGAUUUAUGCAAAUGAAACAAGGCCUGUCCCAAAAGCUGAUUUUAAAUCUUUUGGAAUGCCCUUGAAUCCCUUCAAUGAGAGAUGGACGUGUUUCUGCCAAAAGCUGCUCUGACCACCAAAUUACAGGCUGAAGUAUUUGUAGUUUGUGUAAAUAGAGAGACGAAGUGCAGAGAACAGCAGAAGCUUUUGGAAAGAUCUGUAGCACACGGGGAUAUAAUUGGUAUUCUCAGGUUUAAAUGUACACAGAGUGGCAGGCUAUAAAAUCUUGCACUUGCUCCAACUGUUUUCACUGCGCUAGGUCGGACCUGCCAACGCCGGCUGGUCUGGGCGCUGUCGGUCUCGUGCCUGCUCCUCCGCUUGGACCACGGCAUCGGAGCGACUGGGCUGCCCGUGCACGGCCGCCCCGGCACCGCCUUCGCUGCACGGACGCAGACGGGUCGCGCGUGUCUGGGGCUGCCAUGUGGCCAGCAGUUUGCGGUUCGACAUCCAGAAAUACGUAGGUUACCCUUUGAAAAGGGUUAACAAGUAGAGAACCACAGAAGAAGGUAAUUUACUUUUCAAAGAGGUGACGUUUUCCUGUCCUGCUUAGUUACUUGGCUGUGCUCUUGUGGCAAGCAGGCCUGGAGAGGUCCCGAUGGGUUUCCCCAUGGGGGAUGGCAGGACAAGACCUCCUUUCCAUCUUGACAGCUGGUCCAUCAGUCUCUUCACCUCCACCGCUGUCCUUUUCCCUCAGACAGUGCCAGCGUUCGGCUGCCCUCCUGCAGCACGACCGGCCGGACCUCUCUGGCAGCUCGGGGGCCUCUGGACUCGCGUUCUGCCCUCAAGCAGCAAACACCUCCGAGGCUCCAGAUCUAUUUGGUUACUCCGUAGGCCUUUCUCCAGUCUUCCCAUCAGGCUGUCCAUCUUUGUACUGAUCUUUCCCAGUCCCACGGACCAAAUUGUCCACCUUUGCUUCUCUGCUUUUUAAAGCUGGCUCUAGCUCAUGCCCAUCACAAACCUUGGCAGGUUGUUCUGGAGUUACCACCAAAAGAGUAAUUUCAUCCUUUCCUUUGUUGGCUGGAUCUCUGUGAUAUUAUCUACCGUCCAUGCUGUUCAUGUCAGUUAAGUGGGUCCCUUCAGGGAAAUGUUGCAUGUUCCCUUUUUAUUUUGGUCAGACCAGUUAACCUGGCAACCCUGAAGGCAGCAUUUCCUACCUGGGGGUGGAGAGCGGAAACACAACCAAUUGCAAGGUCAGCAGAAGUGCAAAAGAUCGUGAUUUCAAAUAAAUGCAGGUAACGUUUUUUUUCUAGAUAUGGGAAAAAAAGAAUAGUGAAGAUGGUGAAAGACAGCUGGUGUGAACUCAGAAAAUAAGGAGUUGUUUUUAAUUCUGCAAAACUUUCACAUACUUUUCAAAGUAAAAGGUGGAGGCUCUGCUAGUAGAAGAGCUGAAAAGGGCACAGUCGCUUAGUACAUUUGUCACAACUGUCAUUUGUGCUGGCCAAGCCUCAUUCUGGGGUGGGGAGAUGGUAAAUAAGCCUCAAAAGAGGAUACAGGUGGUUGUACUGAGUCAUCAGAGACCAGGAGAUUGCAUCAGUGCUCUGUGUGGAGGUCACAGCGAGUUGCUAUUGCUGGUAGAGAACAUUUUCUCUUCCCAAAGGAGAAAAGAUUAGUCCAGUACUGAAGAAAAUUAGAGGAGUCUAAGUCUAGGUCUUCAAGAAAAGAAGCACACCAAUUUUUCAAAGAUUUAAAAUUGUAUUAAGGUGCUAUGGAGCUAGGUUAUAGUGUUUGCAAGGGCCUGAAUGACCAUCUUAUUUCAGACUCUGAAGAUGAAGCUCUUAGACCCAGACUCGUCCUGUCUAACUUCAGACCUCUUAGUGAAAGGCCUAAAUUAGAUUUUCGGUCUUGCUGGACUCCUAAAUUCAGUUAUUCAUUUAAAUCCCUGAGGUUAGGGGAGAUGAAUCGGUGACUUAACGUCUUUGGAAUGCAUUCAUAAAUAAACAUCACUUUCCUGUCUGAGCCCAUUACGAGUGCUUCCUAAGUGUAAAUGCCACCCAGCACGAUAAUGUCCCAUAAAUAACACCGAGCUGCUAUGAAAACGGCAGUGUCUGACAGGUGUGAAGAUGUAUAUGAAAAGGAGACUAAAACACUGUGAAGUAACGUUAUUGUUUUUAUUUUCCAAGUGGAACAAAUUUAAAUAAUUCCACUAAGGCGAUAUUGAGUUACUCUGAUUUUUAUCAAGUAGGGAUCUGGAUCAUUGUCUUCAGUGGUGAAAUGAUGGAAAAUGCAACUAAUCUGAACAUUCAGAAUAAUUACUUGAAAAGAAGAAUUGGCUAAUAAUUACUGCAGAACUUAGGGCUGUUUUGUACACGUACGUCCCGUAACCCUUUAGCUUCCAAGCCUUACCCAGCAAAAUUUGAGAAUAUUUUUCAAAUGUCAGUCUGGAAUAAAAUCGGUCUUUUCCCCUUUCUCUUUUAAAAGAAGUUUGCUGAUGCAGGUUAAGUGAAACCACUGAGGUUCCCAGCGUUUUCUGUGCCAUGGCAUCUUCCAAGCGGCGUGCCGAAACGGACCGCAUCAGUGCUGUGCAUCGGGGGAAACCGUGGUUUCCCUCUUUCAUCCCCACAGCGCGGGAAACUCGCUCGCCUCCUGCAGCCCCGAGCUGUCAGCAGAGCCAGCAGCUUUGGAACAGGGCUCAGGCCAGUUUAACCAGUCCUGUAGCAGCUGCUGGUGCUGACGGAGGGUGCCGGGUCCCCAAAUACUGGCAUUUUUGAGACCAUGAGUGGAGGAAAGGCCCAGUCCUCCCACGUGUCAGUGACUGCUGCGGGAGACGGGGGCAGCUCGGGUGAGCGCUGCUGGGUUGCCCCCAGGGAUGAAAAGCGGUUGCCGUGCCAGAACCCUUCUGCGUCCACCUUCAUCUCCCUGCACCGUGCAAAAGGUUGAGUCUCCCCAGAAGGAUGCUGUUUCUCGGAGCGGUUUUUAGGCAUGUGUUGGUUGCCUGUGGGUGCUCAGGGAGGACAGUGGGGCAGUGCUUCGCCGGCGCGCUCGAAAGCCGGGAGGCCUGCUGUGCUCUCCCGACGUGAGCUGCCAUCCGUCUUAAUUUGACUACUGGUCUGGGGACAAACGAGAGAGUUUUCAGGGCAGGAACUGGCUGUCUUGGCUGCAUCGAUGUGCUCCAUCAGGCUGCUGGUGCUGCCGGUGCGCUGACUCUCGACAUGGAUGUUAAACCGGUGCCACGGGGCGAACUCAGCGUUAGCAGAUGCUUCGGUGCUCCGUUGGCAGGGUUGGUUCAGCUGGUUUUUGGUUCGUCGCUGUAUUUUUUCCUGAGACCCUGGUCCCAAACCAAUGUUUUUUCAGUCUGAACAACUUCUCUUUAAAAGGAGUCGGGGAAGCCGGUCCUGGGAGUGUCUGUGUGCUGCAGCCGUAAGGAUCCUCGCCGGUGUGCAGGGAGCACCAUCUCCAUCGCAGCAGCCAGGCCCUCACCGUGCAAAUUCCAGCGUGCGAAAGCAGAUCUCACCGUUCAGCAGCACGGAGCAAACCAGAGCUGGCAGCUUCAGCGACCUAAAUGAAGCAUCGGAGCCAUUAGGAACUACAUGGAAAAUUGAAGCUGCUACUGCGUGCCCAGUUCUCAAGCCACAAUUUGGGGAAGCAUCAGGACAAAGACGCAGAGGCCUCUCCCACUGCCCUCUCCUUCCAGAGCUGUAUUAAGGCAAGAGGCACCAGGGGGUGGAUCUGUUCAGACAGGCUUAUGCUGCUGCUCAAACAGCAGCCUGCAAAUCUGGUGCCCGGGUUUCUGUCCUACUCUGUGACACUUCUCACUGCAGCACCUUUGGGCAGCUGCUUUUUGCCAUGGGAAGGGGUUCUCAGCCUACUUCUUUGGCUCAUUAAAAUACUUGUUAAAAUAAAAUGAUGACAUCCUGAAUUAAAGGGGCUAUGUUCAUUUUGGGAUGAUCACUAUUGGUAAUUGUGGUUUAGCUCAUCAGCCUGGCGUUUCGUUUCUGCUAACCGCGUUUCCAGCAAAGCGUGUGAUGAAAACGUUCAUUGUUUUUCUGAAGGUCACAGUUCCUGUCCUGUCCCAAACAAGCCCUGCCUUUCUCGAUGCACGCAUUUAUAACUAGCUAAACAAUGAGAGUUUUAACAGCCUUGGGAAGUAUCCUCUUGACCUGGUUCCUCCUAUUGCUGUCGUGAGGAGAUACACCAAAAACUCACACUGUGGGAAUUUCUCAGCAGGGCAGCGAUCGUUUCUGGGGUUUGCAGUCUUCUGAUGGUGAGAAACUGAGGGCUCGCGAUCAAGUUAAUAUGCCUUAAAAUGUCGUGCACGCGCCUGUGCAUGUGCUUCGUUCAAUGCCAAUAUUAGGCAAUUAAACAAGCCUACAAAACAAGAUGAUUGCAUUUGUUUCAGGGUAAGAUCAUGUGCCUGGAUAGUGAUUGCAGCUCAUUUGAAGUUCAAAAAUGUAAUGAUGAGCCUAAGCUUUAAGGAAGCAUCCUACCAGCUGGAAAAUUCCCGGUGCACUCGCUCUGUGAACAUGGGCAGACCUGUGGCCACCGGCUACCGCUACCAAGUUACCUGGAAAGGGAUGUUUCCUCCUCAGGGAAUUUUUCCCUGCUGUCUAGUAAAACAUGGACUUGCAGGCUUCAGGUGCUAGCAUGAUAUGAGUGAUCCUUUAAUGCAGACUGAAAUGUUGCUGAUGCCUCUCACCAGGCACCAUUCAGUAAACUCUUAAGCCUUUUGCGUUAGAGAAUCAAUAAUGUUCCGCAGGAUUUUCCCCAAGCAACGGCAAACAAGCUAGGUUGCUGCUGGCUGCUGGACCUUGAGACACAUUUGCAUGCAAGGAUGAGCAGGUUAUCAAUUCUGUGACUUCUUUGAUGGAGGAACUGGCUUGGAUGCAGAUAAUUAUGUCUUCAUUGAAAAGAAGCUCAAGAGCCAUGCUACCACAAUAACUGGAGCUUUGAGCUAAUGAAGCAAUUACCUGGUGUAAUUGAAUAGAGGUGGAAUAACUAUGACAUAUUAAAUAGAGACAUAAAUCAAGCUUUUUGCUAACAACCUGUUAAGGUUCAUUUUUUAUAUCAUAUGUUAUUGAAAUCACCAUUUAAAGUUUAAAAUGUUGUAAAUGUUAUCUUUGCUGAAGACAGAGAUUUUGGCUUUGUUUAAUGUAUCUGCUGUAAGCAUCUUCACUAACAUGCUUGGAGAUCUCUGAGCUUAAGAAACAGCUGUGGCAACUUUCCAGCCCGGGAUCCUUCCAGCCUGCAGAGGGAUCGUGACCGUGAUUCAGCUUAGUGUCCUUGGGGGCUUUUUUAACGGAUCUGCACCAGUUUCAGAGGUCGUUUUGUGCACAGUCCAGACUGAUGGUUGAUGCACCGCCUCCUCCUGUGGCUCUAAAGGAAACGAGAAACCACGUAAGACCUUUGCUGAGGAAUCGGCGCCCGCUGAAGACGUGCGGCACAGGGACAGCCACGUGCCGAAAGCAGAGCUGUUGAAUGCGGCUCUUCGUCCCAGGUGAGCAUCCAGAGUGGAGAUCAGCGUGAACAUUGGCUUAGGAAAAACCAGUGGGUUUGGUGGUCUGGUGCAUCCCCUUCCACCCCGCACCUGAGCAAGGUGCAUGUGCAGUCCCUGCCUCCCGCACGGGCUCCAGCGGGGGCUCGCGGGGUGCACGGCUCACCCCCGGCAUCUGCGUUGCUCCGGGAGCCGCUCCGGCGAGCGCUGCCUGGCACGGCUUCUGCGGAGGGCAUCCUGGUCGUCUCCCGGGUGGCAUAAACAGCUCCUCCGGGGCUCUUAACCGGACAUCUUUCAGCAGCCCCAGAUGUGCAUAAAAGGAAUAACGUAAAGGAAAAACAGCAACGCAGGACAAGAUGCGGCGUGCUGCUGGCGCCGUCCCUUUGCAGCUCCCGGGGGUGAGGAGCCCGCGCGGUUCAGCGUCCGCCCGACCCAGGCAAUGGGCGGUUGGAGGAGCAGCGAGGGGCUUGGGACAAAAUCACAACAAAGACAAGCAAAGACGACACUUAGGGGCGGUUGUGUUCAGCAAAAUGCUGAUAUGCUUGCUCGUGUCCGAUGAGCACUGCCUUUGCUUUCCGUGGAGCACGUCCGUGCCGCAGGCAGGCUGACUGAAGGUGGGAAACAUAGCAACCACAAUUACAUUUUUUUGAGCUGAUUCAUCAUAAAAUGGUUUACCUCAUUCCCUUCUCUCUGGCAUCUUUUUAUUACGCUGUUUUUUAACAGUUAGUCCUAUUUGAUAGUCACCCAUUACGAAUCCCUCGUGCUGGCCUCGUUAGCACAGGCGGAUGCAACGUUCCCGGCACCAUUUAUCCCCUGCCCGCUGGUUUCCCAUCCUGUACCUGCUGCAGUCCUUUCCCUUGAUCAGACCCUCUUCAAACGUUCCCGUUAUGUUUUUCCCACCAAAAAGUGGUUCCCAGGCGAGGCGGCAGGGUUGCUGGGGCUUGCUGGAGUUACGGGGGAAUUGCAAGCAGGGCAGAAACUCCCUGUAGCCCUGUGCUUGUGCUCGCGGUGGGGACAAAGACGGGGGGUCACAACCGGAAAACUUGGGGAAUGGUUGCUUUAGGCAGAAAAAUCCAUUCGUGAGGAAAUUAAUUUAGUCAUGGAUUGGUCCUUCAGGAAAUGGCAUGAGGGCAAAAAUUGAAACAAAAUAAUCUCAUGCACAAUAAAAACGUACCCCUCCCUCAAAACCGUAGCUGGGAGUCGUGUGAAAAGGCAGCGCUGGCCUGGGAAUAAGGGAACAUUAAUAACAGCAGUUGUGUCCGAUGGGGCACAUGCUUUCCACUUGUCCCCACUAAAUGUCACUCUGUGAAAUGCAAUAUCCCGGCAUUUUUAAACAGAGCUUUGGAGGGUGGGGGUUAUUAAUUUGCUCUGUUUUGUGGGUGAUGGGGAAUUUCUAUCCAAUUGUUUUUCUGCAGGCAAGAAUGUCACUGGAAACAAAAGGAAUUGCCGCAAAUCGUGGGACAGCUGCAGCUAUUAUAAAAACACAUUUCUAUGCCAUUGCUGACUGCUAGUGGGAAAGCAGUGGGCCAGGCGUCCCAGAAAAGUGGGUUAAAAUGUUCUAACGCUGCCUGACUUGGGGAACAUGCGAUGCUGCAGCCGAUGUACUCGACAUGCUUAAGAGUGGUGGGAUUAUUCUCAUAUUGCUUUUGGCCUCCAGGAAUGUUAGUGUUUUGGAGGAAAUAACAAGGAAUUCACUUCUGUUUUGCCCCAGCGUGCUCCUUUUUCCAGAGUGGAACAUAUGCUUGCAAUUGAAUGGAUGUGUUAAAGUUACAAUUGUUUUUCUGAAAGGUCUUAUUCUAAAACAGAAUUGCACUGACUGUCAAAUUUUUCCUGUCUUUGUUUUGAUGUUCUGUGUCAGAAAUAAUAGAGUAGCAGCUGUGCUUUGUAGAUACUUUAAAGUCUGAACAAGAUGAAAAAUGGUUUCAUUUUCCGAAAAAUCGGCGUAGGGUCGGGUGAUUUGAAAAUUUUCCAUCUCAACUUUUAUCACUGGCAAAAUUGGUUUUCCAGUUAAUAGAAACUUUUCCAGAAA